rnacentral:rRNA from 1 species
UACAGAGGGUGCAAGCGUUAAUCGGAAUUACUGGGCGUAAAGCGCGCGUAGGUGGUUCGUUAAGUUGGAUGUGAAAUCCCCCGGGCUCAACCUGGGAACUGCAUUCAAAACUGUCGAGCUAGAGUAUGGUAGAGGGUGGUGGAAUUUCCUGUGUAGCGGUGAAAUGCGUAGAUAUCGGAAGGAACAUCAGUGGCGAAAGCGACUUCCUGGACCAAUACUGACGCUCAUGUGCGAAAGCGUGGGGAGCAAACAGG